GGAAGUGCGGCUUCCUAUACAUGCAGUCGAGCGGACAGAUGGGAGCUUGCUUCCCUGAUGUUAGCGGCGGACGGGUGAGUAACACGUGGGUAACCUGCCUGUAAGACUGGGAUAACUCCGGGAAACCGGGGCUAAUACCGGAUGGUUGUUUGAACCGCAGGUUCAAACAUAAAAGGUGGCUUCGGCUACCACUUACAGAUGGACCCGCGGCGCAUAGCUAGUUGGUGAGGUAACGGCUCACCAAGGCAACGAUGCGUAGCCGACCUGAGAGGGUGAUCGGCCACACUGGGACUGAGACACGGCCCAGACUCCUACGGGAGGCAGCAGUAGGGAAUCUUCCGCAAUGGACGAAAGUCUGACGGAGCAACGCCGCGUGAGUGAUGAAGGUUUUCGGAUCGUAAAGCUCUGUUGUUAGGGAAGAACAAGUACCGUUCGAAUAGGGCGGUACCUUGACGGUACCUAACCAGAAAGCCACGGCUAACUACGUGCCAGCAGCCGCGGUAAUACGUAGGUGGCAAGCGUUGUCCGGAAUUAUUGGGCGUAAAGGGCUCGCAGGCGGUUUCUUAAGUCUGAUGUGAAAGCCCCCGGCUCAACCGGGGAGGGUCAUUGGAAACUGGGGAACUUGAGUGCAGAAGAGGAGAGUGGAAUUCCACGUGUAGCGGUGAAAUGCGUAGAGAUGUGGAGGAACACCAGUGGCGAAGGCGACUCUCUGGUCUGUAACUGACGCUGAGGAGCGAAAGCGUGGGGAGCGAACAGGAUUAGAUACCCUGGUAGUCCACGCCGUAAACGAUGAGUGCUAAGUGUUAGGGGGGUUUCCGCCCCUUAGUGCUGCAGCUAACGCAUUAAGCACUCCGCCUGGGGGAGUACGGUCGCAAGACUGAAACUCAAAGGAAUUGACGGGGGCCCGCACAAGCGGUGGAGCAUGUGGUUUAAUUCGAAGCAACGCGCAGAACCUUACCAGGUCUG
rnacentral:rRNA from 1 species